AAAUUGAAGAGUUUGAUCAUGGCUCAGAUUGAACGCUGGCGGCAGGCCUAACACAUGCAAGUCGAACGGUAACAGGAAGAAGCUUGCUUCUUUGCUGACGAGUGGCGGACGGGUGAGUAAUGUCUGGGAAACUGCCUGAUGGAGGGGGAUAACUACUGGAAACGGUAGCUAAUACCGCAUAACGUCGCAAGACCAAAGAGGGGGACUUUCGGGCCUCUUGCCAUCGGAUGUGCCCAGAUGGGAUUAGCUAGUAGGUGGGGUAACGGCUCACCUAGGCGACGAUCCCUAGCUGGUCUGAGAGGAUGACCAGCCACACUGGAACUGAGACACGGUCCAGACUCCUACGGGAGGCAGCAGUGGGGAAUAUUGCACAAUGGGCGCAAGCCUGAUGCAGCCAUGCCGCGUGUAUGAAGAAGGCCUUCGGGUUGUAAAGUACUUUCAGCGGGGAGGAAGGGAGUAAAGUUAAUACCUUUGCUCAUUGACGUUACCCGCAGAAGAAGCACCGGCUAACUCCGUGCCAGCAGCCGCGGUAAUACGGAGGGUGCAAGCGUUAAUCGGAAUUACUGGGCGUAAAGCGCACGCAGGCGGUUUGU
rnacentral:rRNA from 1 species